AGAGUUUGAUCAUGGCUCAGGACGAACGCUGGCGGCGUGCUUAACACAUGCAAGUCGAACGGAAAGGCCCCUUCGGGGUACUCGAGUGGCGAACGGGUGAGUAACACGUGGGUGAUCUGCCCUGCACUUUGGGAUAAGCCUGGGAAACUGGGUCUAAUACCGAAUAGGACCGCAUGCUUCAUGGUGUGUGGUGGAAAGCUUUUGCGGUGUGGGAUGGGCCCGCGGCCUAUCAGCUUGUUGGUGGGGUAAUGGCCUACCAAGGCGACGACGGGUAGCCGGCCUGAGAGGGUGUCCGGCCACACUGGGACUGAGAUACGGCCCAGACUCCUACGGGAGGCAGCAGUGGGGAAUAUUGCACAAUGGGCGCAAGCCUGAUGCAGCGACGCCGCGUGGGGGAUGACGGCCCUCGGGUUGUAAACCUCUUUCAGUAUCGGCGAAGCUCCAGGAUUUUUCUUGGGGUGACGGUAGGUACAGAAGAAGCACCGGCCAACUACGUGCCAGCAGCCGCGGUAAUACGUAGGGUGCGAGCGUUGUCCGGAAUUACUGGGCGUAAAGAGCUCGUAGGUGGUUUGUCGCGUUGUUCGUGAAAACUCACAGCUUAACUGUGGGCGUGCGGGCGAUACGGGCAGACUAGAGUACUGCAGGGGAGACUGGAAUUCCUGGUGUAGCGGUGGAAUGCGCAGAUAUCAGGAGGAACACCGGUGGCGAAGGCGGGUCUCUGGGCAGUAACUGACGCUGAGGAGCGAAAGCGUGGGGAGCGAACAGGAUUAGAUACCCCGGUAGUCCAA
rnacentral:rRNA from 1 species